CUUCCAUUCCCUCCAGUAAAUACUUGUUUUUCUUCCACCGCUGAGGCAAAUGCGGGGUGGCUGAUCACCUGGCAGACAUCUUAGGAAACAGGAGCACCGGUCUGGGAAACUGCUGGCCUGGCCUAACACCUGGCGCUGUGGUGCAGGCAAGAGGGCAGCCACUGAGGAUUCUUGAGGAGAGAGAGACCAUAGAAUGAAUGAAAGAGUUGGAAAGACUUUAAAGCUCUGGGAGGCUGAAUCCUUUAUUUCGCUGGAAGAAAAACUGAAUGCCAAGAGGGCCUCACUUUCCCCAAAGCUAUACAGCCAUCAGGGGCAAUGCUGGGAUUCCCCCAUGGAUCUCUUGACUCCUAAUACAGUGCUCUUUCUGAUAUGCCAUCUGGCUCCAUAAUGAACAUUGUGUUCCAGGAAAAUCAGUCUGCGCUGAACAGGAUGGAAUUGGGGCAGGACGUCCAGUGAGGAGGACAUUGAGGCAGUAGAGCAGUUGAUUGCCGAAUGACCACCUACCCUGACUUAAAAGAUCAACCUCAGGGAGGAUUGGAGCUUUCUAGAGUCUCUUGGGACAGCAGAAGCACAGGCCGGGUUGGACUGAAUCUUUAAGUGGACAUGAGGGACAAAGUACCUCCUGUUGGUAAACAUCUCACCACCAACCCACUGUGGUGGCUAAAAUCCCACCUUUAGUCCCAGCAACAUAUGAGCAUGUCACCAGGAGGUCUUCACAGGCCUGUCUGCCACCUGAGUGUAGACAUCUUUUGGCCCUGGAGCCCAGAGAGGCUGAAUGUGGAGAGGGUGGAGAGAGGUCUGUAGUCCUCAGAGAAGACUUGCAGCUUUUUCAGAGCCACCAACCCAUAAAAAAAAAAAUCCCCAAACAGAAAAAUCCUAACUGUGGUGACCAGGUACCUCCUGAGACAUGAAGCCUCCACUUACCUGGACCCUGGAGGCCUCUCCGGGCACAGCUGCCAAUGUUGAUCUUAGAUAAGACCACCAGCAAGUAAACAUCCACUGUGCAAAGCUGUGUUAUCUUUGGGGAACUGAAAUGUCCCCUGGGAGUUGGAAACUCCCCUAGCCACAUACCACAGAGUUGAGGAAGGAAGAGCUGAUGGACGGAAGAACCAUGGCGGGAGGAGUCAUCCGGAAGCUACCUCGCUGCCCUGUCAGUUACGGAACAGAGGAGAGAUGCCGGCUGGAGGACACAGCAAAUUUGAACCAAGAGGAGCUUGGAGGAAGCCCGAGCGACCUGGAGGGGACUGGCUGACCUUCCUCAUUCUUUUCAAGUGUGAAUAAUAACCAAGCCCAGUUUGGCAACUCCUUGAGGGUGAGGACGAAGCCCCAUUCUCCUUUUUGGAACUUGGUGGGGCUCAGGAAGCAGGUUCUCUCCAGUCGGUGGCUUUCCUUUCUGUUGCGGGUCUCUUGAGGGCCUGCCUUCAUGAAGGCACAUGAGUGACUCAUCAUUUGUGAAUUAAUUGCUAUAUGUGAAGGGCAUCUGAGAACAAAUUAUCUUCAUAGACUUUUCAUUAUAAUUUUAUUUGUACUGAUAAUUAGUUGGUUUAGCAAGCUCUUUUUUCAUAGAUUUGGCUAAACUUCAGUCUGAAAGAGGCAAAUUCUGGGGUUCUAGAAAGAGAUUUUAUUCUUUGAUAUAGGGCUAUUUGGUGGGGUUGCUUUUUGUCCUAGUUGUAGCUUUUAUAAUUUCGAGAUUCACAUUUUGCAAUAGAAAUAUACAGGCAUACCUUGGAGGCAUUACAGCUUUGGUCCCAGACCACAAUGAAGCAAGUCACACGAAUUUUGUUGGUUUCCCAGUAAAUAUAAAACGUAUGCUGAUACCAUACUAUAGUCUAAGUGUGCAACAGCAUAUGUCUAAAUGAAUAUACAUAUAUAUUUUUUUGAGACAGGUUCUUGCUCUGUCACCCAGGCUGGAGUGCAGUGGCACUAUCAUGGCUCACUGCAGCCUCCACCUCCCUGGACUAAGAUGAUCCUCCCACCUCAGGCUCCCAAGUAGCUGGGACUACAGGUCACACCACCACACCCAGUUAAUUUUUGUAUUUUUUGUAGAGACAGAGUCUUGACAUGUUGCCUAGGCUGGUCUUGAACUCCUGGCUUAAGUGAUCUGCCUGACUUUGCCUCCCAAAGUGCUGGGAUUACAGAUGUGUAGUCUUUGAAAUCCAGUGUGUGUUCUUACAGUGCAUUUCAAUUUGGACUAGCCAUGUUUCAAAUGCUCAGCAGCCACAUGCGGCUCAUUCUAGAUAGGCGGCCAUCGCUCUUAAAUCCUCCCUGACCUUAGCCAUGCUCUCUCAUCCCUCCUCUUCGCCAAGCUCUGCCUCUCUCACUGGGGCUUCCCUAGCCUCCGGCCAUCUUGGGGCCAAAGCUCUAACACUUUGCCUCUCUCGUGUCUUCUGUUCCCCUCCAGUGGCUUCUGCUUUCUGCCUUAAAAUACACCCAGGUUCCUAAUCCUGAAAACGUCUGUUGUGCACCGAUCCCACCCUCCCCUCGUGUUACCAUCUCCAUUUCCUUCCCCUUUCCUUGUGUCCUCUUCUUUGCUGUGUCCUGGCCCCUCAAAACUUGACCUUGCCUCUCAUCCCCACUGCUGUACUGAAACUGUUGUCUCAGCGUUGCUGAUCAUCCAGCCUUUUAGUCUAUGGACCGCUAAGAGCCAUAGGACGACCUCAGGGUGGGACGUGGCUUGGAGGGCCAUCUCGUCUCAAUUUCCAGAUACAGACCUGUGUUGGGUUGUGUUGGAUUCAUGAGGAAAGCUUCAUAAGUUUUAUGCACGUUUAUAAGACUCCAUCCUUGGAUUCUGAUCCAGUAGCUCUGGCGUGGGGGCUUUAGAAUCUGUUUCAAGUAUCUCAGGUAAUUUUGAUUAUAAAUUACCAAGUAUCCCAGGUAAAUUUUGAUUAUAAAUGCUUGCUUCCAGCAGAAAAUAUAAACAUAUGGAAGAUGAAAUCUUUCUCUCUGAAUAACCCAAUUCAGUUUCCACUCGUGAAUAUCUUAUAUA
ensembl:lncRNA GHRLOS ghrelin opposite strand/antisense RNA